GGGGCUAUGAAUCGCCACUCCAGCUGUCA
rnacentral:sRNA from 1 species